rnacentral:lncRNA from 1 species
UCGUCCCACCAAACCUCCUCAACUCCGCCGCCGCUCUGCUCCUUCCAACUUCAAAGCCUUGGCAAUCUCCGCGCCGCAAACCCUAGCCGCCGCCAUGGCCUUCCUCGCUCCCGCCUCCCUCCGCGCCCCCAUCUACGUAGUCGCCGCCGCCUCCGGACGCCGCUCCGUGCUCCCCGCGGCCGUCAAAGCCACGGCCAGCUCCGGCUCCGCCACCUCUCCGCACCCCAUCCUCUCCUCCCUCCGCAUGGCCGCCUCCGCUGCCGUCCUCCUCGCCGCCACCUCCCCGGCCCUCGCGUGCACCCCCUCCGCGCCUCCGCCCCCGCCCGCUCCCCUAACGGCCGCGGUCCACCCCGACGACCCCAUCCAGGACGCCUCCCACCCGUUCGAGAAGCUCAUCGUCGAGUCCGCCGCGCUCGCGCGCGCCGGCAGAGCGGAGGCUGC